GCAGUCGACGAUGAACCACUUCGGUGGGGAUUAGUGGCGAACGGGUGAGUAACACGUGGGCAAUCUGCCCUGCACUCUGGGACAAGCCCUGGAAACGGGGUCUAAUACCGGAUAUUGACCUUCACGGGCAUCUGUGAGGUUCGAAAGCUCCGGCGGUGCAGGAUGAGCCCGCGGCCUAUCAGCUUGUUGGUGAGGUAAUGGCUCACCAAGGCGACGACGGGUAGCCGGCCUGAGAGGGCGACCGGCCACACUGGGACUGAGACACGGCCCAGACUCCUACGGGAGGCAGCAGUGGGGAAUAUUGCACAAUGGGCGAAAGCCUGAUGCAGCGACGCCGCGUGAGGGAUGACGGCCUUCGGGUUGUAAACCUCUUUCAGCAGGGAAGAAGCGAAAGUGACGGUACCUGCAGAAGAAGCGCCGGCUAACUACGUGCCAGCAGCCGCGGUAAUACGUAGGGCGCAAGCGUUGUCCGGAAUUAUUGGGCGUAAAGAGCUCGUAGGCGGCUUGUCACGUCGGUUGUGAAAGCCCGGGGCUUAACCCCGGGUCUGCAGUCGAUACGGGCAGGCUAGAGUUCGGUAGGGGAGAUCGGAAUUCCUGGUGUAGCGGUGAAAUGCGCAGAUAUCAGGAGGAACACCGGUGGCGAAGGCGGAUCUCUGGGCCGAUACUGACGCUGAGGAGCG
rnacentral:rRNA from 1 species